ensembl:lncRNA
GGCAGGGUAGCCUAGUGGUUAGAGCGUAGAGGUGGCAGGGUAGCCUAGUGGUUAGAGUGUAGAGGUGGCAGGGUAGCCUAGUGGUUAGAGCGUAGAGGUGGCAGGGUAGCCUAGUGGUUAGAGCGUAGAGGUGGCAGGGUAGCCUAGUGGUUAGAGUGUAGAGGGGGCAGGGUAGCCUAGUGGUUAGAGCGUAGAGGAGGCAGGGUAGCCUAGUGGUUAGAGUGUGGAGGUGGCAGGGUAGCCUAGUGGUUAGAGUGUAGAGGUGGCAGGGUAGCCUAGUGGUUAGAGUGUAGAGGUGGCAGGGUAGCCUAGUGGUUAGAGCGUUGGACUAGUAACCCGAAAGGUUGCACAAUUGAAUCCCCGUAGCUGACAAGGUACAAAUCUGUCGAUCUGCCCCUGAACAAGGCAGUUAAACCCACUGUUCCU